rnacentral:rRNA from 1 species
GAUGAACGCUGGCGGCGUGCCUAAUACAUGCAAGUCGAGCGAACAGACGAGGAGCUUGCUCCUCUGACGUUAGCGGCGGACGGGUGAGUAACACGUGAUAACCUACCUAUAAGACUGGGAUAACUUCGGGAAACCGGAGCUAAUACCGGAUAAUAUAUUGAACCGCAUGGUUCAAUAGUGAAAGACGGUUUUGCUGUCACUUAUAGAUGGAUCCGCGCCGCAUUAGCUAGUUGGUAAGGUAACGGCUUACCAAGGCAAAGAUGCGUAGCCGACCUGAGAGGGUGAUCGGCCACACUGGAACUGAGACACGGUCCAGACUCCUACGGGAGGCAGCAGUAGGGAAUCUUCCGCAAUGGGCGAAAGCCUGACGGAGCAACGCCGCGUGAGUGAUGAAGGUCUUCGGAUCGUAAAACUCUGUUAUUAGGGAAGAACAAAUGUGUAAGUAACUAUGCACGUCUUGACGGUACCUAAUCAGAAAGCCACGGCUAACUACGUG